GACAACGUGCCAGAGUGGUUAAUGGGUAUGACUCGAAAGCCGUUGAUUCGCUCAACGGACAUAUAGAUAUCAUAUGGCUUCGGCCGCACAGGUUCGAAUCCUGUCGUUGUCG